UUUCUGCCCCAGUUGUAAUUCACAUUCCAGACUUGGUGUCUGAGCAAGCCACAACAAACCCAUCAGCAACUGCUCCUGUUGUAUCAUCCACACAGAUUAUUGGAUCCCCUUUACCGGUCAUUCCAGCCUCGCCACAUGUCUCAAAAUAUUCUGGCACGCCAACUCCUUCUGAAAUUCUUAUUUCAAAGCCUACACCAGGUCCAAAUCCAACUCCUGCACCAAAACCAACAGUUAUAUCAAAACCUACACAGGAAAUGGUCCCUACUCCUGAUAAUGUUUCAUCCUGUACACUGGAUUCAGCUCUUCAAGAUUUAGCUCAAAGACCUUUGGGCGGUGCAAUACAUGAAACACUUUCAGCUGCUAAAUCAGCCACAGCAGACAAACAAGCUGUUGCACCAAUAAUUCCUUCAAACGAUGACCAUGUAAAAAUUCCUUCUACUGUUGCUACACCUAUUAUUCAGUCACACAGAGGACCUUUAACACAAACUUCUGUUAUUAUUCAAAUGCCCGAUCUUGUGUCCACUGCAGUUCAAGAACAAACUCCAGUUUCAGUGCCUACCCCUCCAUCCACUGCACUCAGGAGUCACAUUUCUACCACUAUCCCCAUUGUUGCACAGAUGCCAGACCUGGUUACAUCUCCAUCUCAAUCAAUAUCUCUGACCUUUCCAGUACUUUCUCAAACCUAUGCCCCACUUCCAGCUAUAGUUUCAGCAGUGGAUCAAGCACCUAUUUCUGUUCCAACAGUGGUAUUAGCCUCAAUACCAGCAAAGGAACUCUCUACAGACCAGACCAGCUCAGCUGUUGAACAAGUGGCCACACCACUGUCUGCUCAAUCCAGUAUUGCUGCUUUAGCAGAGAUUAAGCCACCAACCAGUGUUUCUAUUCAAAUUCCUAUUCACAGGCCAGCAGAAACCAGACCACACAUGACACCCCAAUUAGGCCAAGCAGCCACUGUUUCACCUCCAGCAAGUCAUGGAGAGCAUAUUGCUGCAAAGACAGUCUCU
ensembl:lncRNA